ACCCUUAGAUGUUCUGGGCCGCACGCGCGCUACACUGAUGCAUUCAACGAGCCUAUCCUUGGCAGAAGUGCCCGGGUAAUCUUUGAAACUGCAUCGUGAUGGGGAUAGAUUAUUGCAAUUAUUAGUCUUCAACGAGGAAUGCCUAGUAAGCGCGAGUCAUCAGCUCGCGUUGAUUACGUCCCUGCCCUUUGUACACACCGCCCGUCGCUCCUACCGAUUGGAUGUGCUGGUGAAGUGUUCAGACUGGCCCCUUUUGAUGGCAACAUCGAUUGGAGCCGGGAAGAAUAUUAAACCCUCCCAUCUAGAGGAAGGAGAAGUCGUAACA
rnacentral:rRNA from 1 species